rnacentral:lncRNA from 1 species
UAAUUGGAUAUUAAUCGUGGCACUUACUGAUCAUUUAUCGCAUUAUUUCGUCAGUUGCAGACUGAAAAUUACAGAAAAUCGUCGAGUCGUUUUACGCCGGCUGAAGUGAUGUUCACUUGUUCAUUCGUGUAAUCCUUUUGCGAGAAUCAAGCAGAAUCAAAUCACUGCAAAUUGAACUCGCCGUGAUAUCUGUCGACAAGAAUGAGGGACGAGAGGAAAGAAUACCCGAGAUGGUAGAAGCGCGGUGAUACGGCGGCGGAUUAUUAAGAUAAUUGCAUAGGAGAAGCACAAGAUGAGGGGGUCGACCAUGAGAUAGGAAUGCAUUUUACUUUACGGGUGGGCCGCUUUCACCUGCGGCAAUUCCGAAGACACGAGGCGAUAGGAUAAAGCCUCUUUGUUUUCAUCAUCAAUUAGCAUCAUUCAUGACAGCAAUGUCGCUUUUCUAGGACACCCCGUCUUUGAACCGACUUUUGCUAAAUGAAAAUCUAUUCGAUUUGUCACUCAAGCAAUCGACUAGAAAGAUAAUCUGCAAUAGUGAUCUAUUAUUACACGAAGGAAAAAUAUAUUUUGCACAUUAUAGAGGAUGUAUCUCUUUUACAGGGCCAUUUCUACAGGAUCAUUUCUUCAUUUGUUUUUUAUUAAAUUAUAAAUUAAAUUUCAUUUUUGCUGGAAUUAUUUCCCUGUAAUCACAAUAUUUCACAUUUAUAUGAAAUAUAUGUUUAUUAAUAUAUUUCAUAAGUUUAUCACGUGUCUUUAUCAAAAUUCUAAGCAUAUCCAUCAAUAUCCCAAUAAAACGCAUAAUUUUGUAAAAUAAGUCAUGCUUCAUGAAGAGCAUGAUAAAUCCGCAAAGUCCUGCACGUAGACUGUCGCUAAUUUUACAAAUCGCAACAGUGAAAGGAAAAACGAAGGUCUGCAUACGCGUGAAUAACUAUACAAAGUGUCCACAGAAGUACUUUCUUAUUCAUGAAUUUAUUUAAUAAGUUCUGUAAAAAUAACAUAAUAUCUUAAUAAAUAAUUAAAAACACGUAUUUUGAAAUUGAUCAAUAAGGCACUAAAGAUUGUUUAAAUUAUAAAAUUAUAAAAUUGUAAAAUUGAAUAACGUAUUGUUUAUCGGACAAGAGAGACUAUUUCUGUGUCAAAAUAUAUUUAUUUGACUAUUUGAAAAAUAUGUAUCUAGAAGAGCGCAUACAGUUUGAUUAACGGACAAUGCUUAAUCUUCCUGUUAUCAAGCAUAUUUUCUUCAGCACCUUCUUUUCUAAUAAUAAUGAAUAGAAUAAAACACCGACUAACCACAUUUUACUUUCACAGCUUCCAUUCCCCGCAGAUAUAAAUACUUUCUAUGGCAAGGAGAAAUUACGUGUCUUUCUAAUCGAUGCAGACUGCGAUUCGUGUUCCAAGGUUACCCACAACAGUUAUUAUGCAAAUCAAUUAAUGUUCACUUUGAGAAAUAGCGACCCAUUGGGAAAAUCUUCGCGCAUCCAUAGAACACCGAUCAAGUGAAUUAGAAAAGAAAAGCUGGUUGAUUGGAGAAGGACGUCGAGUGUCCUUGCGGAAAUCCAAGGAACAUAAUUGUUCAGAAAGGCUGGUCAAAUUAUAUUUCAGUUCAAGGAUUUUGAAACUUGAACGGAUUAUAGUUAAACUAAUUAAAUAUAAUGUCUUCAAGAUUUAAGCUAAGCUUGUGCGAUCAAUGAAGUUUCGAUCUUUUAUAGUUACGGAAUAAUUUGAAAUACAAAUUCUAUUUAUUUAUAGAUAUGUAUGAUACUUUUUCCUACAAAUAGUAUUUCUAAUAAAUAGCCAAAGUUCACUGUUUUC